ACAGAGGGGUAUAAGAGACAGGUGAGUCAUCGAAUCUUUGAACGCACAUUGCGCCCUCUGGUAUUCCGGGGGGCAUGCCUGUUCGAGCGUCAUUAUAACCACUCAAGCUCUCGCUUGGUAUUGGGGUUCGCGGUUUCGCGGCCCCUAAAAUCAGUGGCGGUGCCUGUCGGCUCUACGCGUAGUAAUACUUCUCGCGAUUGAAUCCGAUAGGUCUACUUGCCAGUAACCCCCAAUUUUUACAGGUUGACCUCGGAUCAGGUAGGGAUACCCGCUGAACUUAAGCAUAUCAAUAAGCGGAGG
rnacentral:misc_RNA from 1 species